GACAGAGGGUGCUAGCGUUGUUCGGAAUUACUGGGCGUAAAGGGCGCGUAGGCGGCUCGUUUAGUCGGGUGUGAAAAUCCCGGGGGCUCAACCCCCGGAACUGCAUUCGAUACUGGCGGGCUAGAGACCGGAAGAGGUGGGUGGAAUACCCAGUGUAGAGGGUGAAAUUCGUAGAUAUUGGGUGGAACACCGGUGGCGAAGGCGGCUCACUGGUCCGGUUCUGACGCUGAGGCGCGAAAGCGUGGGGAGCAACAGG
rnacentral:rRNA from 1 species